UACGUAGGGGGCAAGCGUUGUCCGGAAUCAUUGGGCGUAAAGCGCGUGUAGGCGGUCCGGUAAGUCGGCUGUGAAAGUCCAGGGCUCAACCCUGGGAUGCCGGUCGAUACUGUCGGGCUAGAGUCCGGAAGAGGCGAGUGGAAUUCCUGGUGUAGCGGUGGAAUGCGCAGAUAUCAGGAGGAACACCGAUGGCGAAGGCAGCUCGCUGGGACGGUACUGACGCUGAGGCGCGAAAGCGUGGGGAGCGAACAGG
rnacentral:rRNA from 1 species